rnacentral:rRNA from 1 species
UGGGGAAUAUUGCACAAUGGGCGAAAGCCUGAUGCAGCGACGCCGCGUGAGGGAUGACGGCCUUCGGGUUGUAAACCUCUUUCAGCAGGGAAGAAGCGAAAGUGACGGUACCUGCAGAAGAAGCGCCGGCUAACUACGUGCCAGCAGCCGCGGUAAUACGUAGGGCGCAAGCGUUGUCCGGAAUUAUUGGGCGUAAAGAGCUCGUAGGCGGCUUGUCACGUCGGAUGUGAAAGCCCGAGGCUUAACCUCGGGUCUGCAUUCGAUACGGGCUAGCUAGAGUGUGGUAGGGGAGAUCGGAAUUCCUGGUGUAGCGGUGAAAUGCGCAGAUAUCAGGAGGAACACCGGUGGCGAAGGCGGAUCUCUGGGCCAUUACUGACGCUGAGGAGCGAAAGCGUGGGGAGCGAACA